GAUAUUGUUAUUUUUAAAUUCUAACUCUAAUUCACUUUCAAUCCAUAUCAGUUUCCUUAGCAAUGUCUUCUAAAAUAUUUGGGAGAGUUAGAGUGGAUCAAUAUUUUAAUUAACUUAAAUCAAACAAAAUCAAAAAUAAAUAUCUUAAUUGAAAUCUCAUAUUCAAAAACCUAAAUCUCUAAUUAUUCAUACAAGCCCCAAAUCAUAA
rnacentral:lncRNA from 1 species